rnacentral:rRNA from 1 species
AUACGGAGGAUGCAAGCGUUAUCCGGAUUUAUUGGGUUUAAAGGGUGCGUAGGCGGAUGAUUAAGCGUGAGGUGAAAUGCCACUGCUCAACAGUGGAACUGCCUCGCGAACUGGUUGUCCUGAAUGCUCCUGCCGUGGGAGGAAUGUGUGGUGUAGCGGUGAAAUGCAUAGAGAUCACACAGAACACCGAUUGCGAAGGCAUCUCACGAAGGGGUGAUUGACGCUGAGGCACGAAAGCGUGGGGAUCAAACAGGAUUAGAUACCCUGGUAGUCCACGCAGUAAACGAUGAUAACUAACCGCUGGGUCGUAGUGAUUCAGUGGCCAAGCGAAAGCGAUAAGUUAUCCACCUGGGGAGUACGACCGCAAGGUUGAAACUCAAAUGAAUUGGCGGGG